CCUAGCGGCAGCACUAAAAUCUAUGUGCUCCUCACGUCCUCAGAAUAGAUUAUUUUAUAUUAUUUCUUGAUGCUAUCUUUGAUAACGAAUGGCUUUCGGAAAACCAUAGCGAUUUGAAAAGGAGUCUCCCGUUUGUGAAGCAUAUUUCCCACAGAAUAAUAAAUGGAGUAGUUUAACCUUUCAAAAAUAAACAGUUUUGUUUAAUAACCUUCAGAUUGUGAGCAUCAUUUGUCUUCAGAACAGUUAUUAUUACUGCUGGGGGCCAAUUCGUCAUUUUUAAUCAUCAAUUCUCUCAUUGCUUUCACCACUCAUCGACUUCUAAAGGAUGUGUUACCUUCACUCAGCACUUGUCCUGCUCAACAAGUGUUACAUCAAAACGCAUCGCCAAUUUUGGAUAGAUCCAUUUACAUCGGUACGCGACCUACAUAAACUGGCCAGAGGGAUCCAAAGGCGGCCAUUAAUGCGUCCCAAAUCAAUCCGGAUAAUCUAUCAGUACGUACCAUCGACACGGUUAGCAAGUGCAUCCAACAGACGCAACGACCAAAGACAUCCCGAGACUCUUGAUUUACGGAUAUCUAUCAUCGGACCUAAGACCUAAGAAUAGGAACAGUUCUUUAUUGCCACAUUCAUCCUUAUUUGAACUUACAAUUAAAGCAUGGAUCAAAGCUA